rnacentral:rRNA from 1 species
GUAGGGAAUCUUCGGCAAUGGGGGCAACCCUGACCGAGCAACGCCGCGUGAGUGAAGAAGGUUUUCGGAUCGUAAAGCUCUGUUGUAAGUCAAGAACGGGUGUGAGAGUGGAAAGUUCACACUGUGACGGUAGCUUACCAGAAAGGGACGGCUAACUACGUGCCAGCAGCCGCGGUAAUACGUAGGUCCCGAGCGUUGUCCGGAUUUACUGGGCGUAAAGCGAGCGCAGGCGGUUUGAUAAGUCUGAAGUUAAAGGCUGUGGCUCAACCAUAGUUCGCUUUGGAAACUGUCAAACUUGAGUGCAGAAGGGGAGAGUGGAAUUCCAUGUGUAGCGGUGAAAUGCGUAGAUAUAUGGAGGAACACCGGUGGCGAAAGCGGCUCUCUGGUCUGUAACUGACGCUGAGGCUCGAAAGCGUGGGGAGCGAACAGGAUUAGAUACCCUGGUAGUCCACGCCGUAAACGAUGAGUGCUAGGUGUUGGAUCCUUUCCGGGAUUCAGUGCCGAAGCUAACGCAUUAAGCACUCCGCCUGGGGAGUACGACCGCAAGGUUGAAAC